CUACGGAGGGUGCAAGCGUUAAUCGGAAUUACUGGGCGUAAAGCGUGCGUAGGUGGUUUGUUAAGUCAGAUGUGAAAGCCCCGGGCUCAACCUGGGAACUGCAUUUGAAACUGGCAUACUAGAGUAUAGGAGAGGAAAGUGGAAUUUCAGGUGUAGCGGUGAAAUGCGUAGAUAUCUGAAGGAACAUCAAUGGCGAAGGCAGCUUUCUGGACUAAUACUGACACUGAGGUACGAAAGCGUGGGUAGCAAACAGGAUUAGAAACCCUAGUAGUCC
rnacentral:rRNA from 1 species